rnacentral:tRNA from 2 species
CGGCAUGUAGCUCAGUGGUAGAGCAGUCGGCUAUUAGCUGAUUUGUCGUGGGUUCGAUUCCCAACCUUGCCGA